UUUACCCAGACACAUGCCCACGUGAGAUUUACUUUUGCAUCAAGUUGUAGGACAUCUGUUUGAUACAAUGCCCACAAGAAAUAUUCAUGCGUAACGAACGGUGCAGCCCCAUCUCUCUCUCUCUCUCUCUACUUGCAAGUUUGUGCGAGCCACCUAUUUGUUAGUAUGUUUCUCAAGGUUUAAAAAUAUUUUGUCAGAUUUCUCACACAUUGUAUGAGGACUAGAGUGAAUAAUUUUAGAAGAGUAGAAUCACAGAUCUGAGAGGCCAAUUCAUGUAGACGCAAUGAGCUAUUGAACAUUGCUAAUGAUGGUGCUACAGUUUUUCAGAAUAAAGCAGACACUACAGGAACAAUAUAGUAGUGGUCAAACUUUGGGUUGAGGGUCUGAUAAUGGACGUAAGACAGCUGUUGGAGAGGAGAUUAAAAUAUGGAAGAUAGCAGCAGACGAGGUAGCUGAAGCUGGUAGAUCAAUUGAGCAAGAGCCCCAGAUCCAGGUGUGUUUAUAAUGAGCUGUUUGUAAGACCAGUGCUACAUGGUUCCACUUGGAGUCUCUGUAGUUAUUUGGCUGAUGGUGUGCAUGAGUUUGAGCUAUUUAUUAUUGUGUAGUUUUGACUUUAGAACCAUGGAAGUUGUCCCUCUUUUAUAAAUAACUUCAUGUGGAAAAGUAUUCUUUUCGAGGGAAACAAGGUCAAGAAUUGGCAUUAGUGGUUGGCAGUGAUGAUAAGUUCGCAUUUUAUACCAGCUAGCAAGACUUCACAGAAAUUUGUUAGAGGAAUUGCAAUAUCUUUAUCAAACAUUAUUUUUCUCAUUCCUUUUUGGUCUUAGACAAGAAUAAUAGAGAAUCUCAAUGCUUCUACUGUUGCAGUACCUGUAGUAGAGCAACCGCUACCUCAAAACUUCAGAGAAGAUGGGCAUGAAUGCCUGUUUUGGUUGCUGGUUACUCCAACAACAAGUGCAUCAUAUCUUUAUGUAUCCCGUAGCUUAUGCAGCCCAUAAUUAGUUUCCUGACAGAUUGAUGAUUGGGAGAAGUAGCUAGAAUGCCCCUGAAUACAGAUUGACGAUUGGGAGUUUUUUGAAGGUUAGAAUUCCAGUUUCUUAGUAUCUUCAUUGUCCAACAAACUAUAAAAGGUCAUAUGUUUUGGCGGUGUGCCCAUUUGUGUGUGCACGUGCGUAAAUGAUCCUUGGACAGUUCCCUUUUUUGGAUCUCUAAAGCACCUUGCGCUAGCAAUCCAACCUACAAUGUCAGUUUUUGUAUGAACAAUGCUCAAAAGAAAAUAUUUUGAAUAUUUCCCUAACAUUUUGGUGAAUCUGCACCUGAAAGUUUUAAUUUUUGCAGGAAACAAUGCAGAGAAACAAGAGUAACAAUUACGUAGUAGUAGAUCAUACAAAGGACUGGUAGCGAUUCAUCAGUCAUGGUCCAAGAACGACGGAGAAAUUAAAAUGAAGCACGACAUUUCUGCAUAAUAGCAGAAGCAGAGCAAGAGAAGAAAGUUCAUUAGCAGCUCAACAACGACGCCUGCUAAGAGAGGAUCAACACGUGCAUCAUGUUGCCAUUUCGGAAGCCCCAUAUCCUCGAGCUUGACAGGCUCAUCUACCAUCCUGGCCGACGUCCUCGCCAUCUUCCCCGGGCCUCACAACCACCUCUUCAGCUGCUGCUGGAGCAGAGCACAUCGGCAGACCAAGAUGAGGAUAGCCCAUACCGCACCCAAGGUUUUUAGUAGAUGAAGGACAAAAGUCUGUGCACAAAAGACCAUUCUUGAUGGAUUCAAGAGAAUCAAGAGUGAAGCAUGAAGAUACGAUAAAUAUGGCGAUUACAAAUAUGCCUACCGAGACAUGGGUUGUUUCAUAUAUCUUUGGUUGAUUUGGAUCUGCUCACAAAGAAAAAGGAUG